UUAUCUCUCUCAACUGAUUCAAUACACAAGAGCUUGUAGUGCGUAUGAUCAGAUUUUAAAUCUAGGCAGGCUACUGACAAAGAAGUUGAUGUGAUAAGGGUUUGAACAGUAUCGAUUGAAGUCAGCAUUUAAAGCCUACAUUUCGCAAAUUCUAUUUGUCAUUAUAACGAUCAUGUUUGCCAAUACAACCUGUCAUUGAUUGAAAUGCUGUCUCAUAUGCGUGUUUCAUAUCAAUUGUUAAGGUGGUCUUUACACACUACAGAUUACUCCGUUUAUAUUACCUAAUCAAGACAUAGAGCUCACGGCGGGUGUGAACGGUCGACAGGGAAAGCUUACUCAUCCUAGGUACCUGACCCCACCUCUGGUAUAUCCUGAGUUCCGCGUUUGUCCAACUCUUAAUUUUACAUUCCUUAUGAAAGGUGAAGAUAACUAACAGUGAUCAAUCUCAUAGUGGUGAAAGUUGACCACUAGAAUCCCAUCCUCAAAAUUGCAGUCCCCAUGGUAGGGAUCUUAGAUGCUUCCGAAUCCGAUGUUUAUAUUCACUUAGAUGAGUAAAAAUCGGAGGGGCGGGUCGCCAAACCACAAAGGGGUACCAUCACCGUUUUUUCACAUUGAUGGCAGCCAGUUUACCAAUAGACCCUGCCUUCUAAUUUUCAGUUCACGGGGUAGGUGUCCUCGAUGUUUCCAAAUCCGAUGUUUAUUCGCCACGUAUGCAAUGAGUAAAAGAUGGAGGGACGAAUCUCCAAAACAGGAGAGGGUACCAUCGCCAUUUCAUUUCAAAGCGGGGGUAGUUGACCACUAGAACUGCAACUUCAAAUUUCAGUCUGUAUUUCUAUUUCAUGCAUAUAUAAAUUUUAAUUGCGACCUACCAUCUAGAAUGUAGUUCACUAUUGAAUUGCGAAAUGCAAACUGCAAAAGUUCUGCUUUCGAAAUCUAAUUUCCCUUUUGACAGGCUAUUAUGUACUUUUUCCGCUUUGUUGGAUAACGUACUGUAUGGAUAAUUAGGAUUGGUAUGAAAUAGAGCAUGAAACUUCCGUAUGUAAAGUAUCGAUAUCAUUGUUGAUUUAAAGCACCAUGUUCACCACACAAGAAAAAUUGACGACCAUAGCUCUAUUUUUUCUUAUUAUUGGAUUUCUGUUCACUACUGUGGCAUUUUCGACCACGGGUUGGUUGGAACUACUUCACAAAGGUCGUAAAUUCCACAUUGGUUUGUGGCGAGUUUGUGAACGGCGGUGUUACAACCUUGAUGGGAUAGUAUUAAGUAAAUUGAUGGGGUUAUGUGCAGACCACUGGCUGUUUGGGAUUGGUAGGAACACUGUGUGCUACCAUUUUCACUGCUCUGUGUAUCUAUGUAGAGCGGUUUCAGUGGAACAACAAACUCCUUAGAUUCGCAGCCAUCGUGACCAUACUAACAUGGAUAAUGGAAGUCUCGGGAUGCGUGACGUUUGUUGUGUCGUGGAUACGUACAUCGCCUGACUAUGGAGCGAAUGAUGAUCUUUUUUAUCUUGGACUACCCACACUGACCACUGACAGAACGGACUUGUCCUAUAGUUUAGUUUUUGCCAUUCUUGGUGCUCAAUUAACUCUUGUUGGCGGCAUAAUGUUAUUUCACGUGCUGCAGAAGAUAGAAGAAUGUUCAAAAGAAACGAUUCGUGAGGGAUCUGGGUCCACUUCCUUUACACCCGAAACACGAGCAUCAUGAAUCACAACCGAGUGGCUUUCAUAUCGUUAACAUGAACCAAAUCCCUUAACUGUCAAAACAUCGCCGUUGAGCCUACUUAUAGUAGAGUGCCAUUAGAAAUGAAAACAUUUUAUGGAAUUGUGAUUUUCAUGUUGAAAAAAUAAAGCAGAUUUAUUUAAUAUUU